rnacentral:rRNA from 1 species
UAAGGAAUAUUGGUCAAUGGAGGCAACUCUGAACCAGCCAUGCCGCGUGCAGGAGGACGGCCCUCUGGGUUGUAAACUGCUUUUAUUCGGGAAUAAACCUACUUACGUGUAAGUAGCUGAAUGUACCGAAGGAAUAAGGAUCGGCUAACUCCGUGCCAGCAGCCGCGGUAAUACGGAGGAUCCAAGCGUUAUCCGGAUUUAUUGAGUUUAAAGGGUGCGUAGGCGGUUUUUUAAGUUAGUCGUUAAAUCUCCGAGCUCAACCCAGACAUGGCGAUUAAUACUGGAGAACUAGAGAUUAGUUGCAGAGGGCGGAAUGUGUAGUGUAGCGGUGAAAUGCUUAGAUAUUACACAGAACACCGAUUGCGAAGGCAGCUCUCUAAGCUACAUCUGACGCUGAGGCACGAAAGCGUGGGGAUCAAACA